rnacentral:rRNA from 1 species
UACAGAGGGGGCAAGCGUUGUUCGGAAUUACUGGGCGUAAAGGGCGCGUAGGCGGCCUGUUAAGUCGAACGUGAAAUCCCCGGGCUCAACCCGGGAACUGCGUCCGAUACUGGCAGGCUUGAAUCCGGGAGAGGGAUGUGGAAUUCCAGGUGUAGCGGUGAAAUGCGUAGAUAUCUGGAGGAAUACCGGUGGCGAAGGCGGCAUCCUGGACCGACAUUGACGCUGAGGAGCGAAAGCAUGGGGAGCGAACAGG